AGACACGGCUGGGCGGCGUGCCUGACACAUGCAAGUCGGACGGUUCUUGUAUCUUCAAGCUUGCUUGCAGGUGCAAGGAUAGUGGCGGACGGGUGAGUAACGCGUGAACAUCUACCCAUUGGAGGGGGACAACCCGUCGAAAGGCGGGCUAAUACCGCGUAAGCCGCGAGGUGAGAGGCUGCCUAUUGGUGGCCGCCGAUGGAUGGGUUCGCGUCCUAUCAGCUGGUUGGUAAGGUAACGGCUUACCAAGGCUAUGAUGUUUAGGGGUCCUGAGAGGGUGGUCCCCCACACUGGUACUGAGACACGGACCAGACUCCUACGGGAGGCAGCAGUGAGGAAUAUUGGUCAAUGGGCGCAAGCCUGAACCAGCCAUCCCGCGUGCAGGAAGACGGCCCUAUGGGUUGUAAACUGCUUUUCCAGGGGGAGAAUAAUCCUGUCGUGACAGGACUUGACGGUACUCUGGGAAUAAGCAUCGGCUAACUCCGUG
rnacentral:rRNA from 1 species